ACAUGACCGAGACAAGAUUUGGAGCUUUCACAAUUGAAUAGCUCGAGUGAGUUCACCAUCGUGCCGUGAAAUGCACAAGACACAGCAUGACUGCUUGACAUUUUCACCUGAAAAAACGCACCGAUUUGAUUUUCCCAAUUCCUAUCCAAUUUGCGCCGUGUUUAGUUCCAAAAUAUUUCUUCAAACUUUUAACUUUUUCAUCGCAUCAAAACUUUCCUACACACGAACUUCCAACUUUUUUAUCACAUCGUUUCAAUUUCAAACAAACUUUCAAUUUUAGCGUGAACUAAAUACAGCCAUGAAGUGUUUUUUCCCCUGUCGCUUUUUUGAAUUCGUUAGCAGGAAAGUGCCACGACGAAGCGGCAGCACCAACCUUUGAAGGGAGCUAGAGAUUUUUCAAGAGAACCCAAACGAGUACUUGAAUUAAUUACUCGACUGAUUUUAUUUUCUUUUUUAACAAUACUCGACUGAUUUUUUAAGAGAAUCUAAACGAGUACUACUUGGAUAGUUGGAUUAAUUAUUGGACUUCCUUUUUUUUGGCUCAUAUGAUCGUGUUGGUAUUGUCUUAUACGCCAGUGCAUGCAAACUCUAUGAUGGAAUCCUACUCAUAGUUACUGUAUCAGAUUCAUCUGACCUACUCCUACUUGUAAAGCAUACUUCCUCCAUACUCGUAAAGAAAGUCGUUUUGGACUACAGCGACACAGUUUUCAAAAUAUAACUUUAACUUCUUGUUUCUAUAAAAAAUAUUUAUGGAAAAGUUAUAUUCAUAUAAUUUUAUAAAAAAAUUUCAAGACAAAUCUAUUCAUAUAAUUUUUAUAUUUACAAACUCAACAACUCGAGAGUUAUUUAUAAUAUAUAUUUUCAAGGUUCGACUUAAAUAUUGUUUUAAACGACUUUAUUUAUGAGUACGGAGGGAAUAUAUACUUGCGUAUAUGCAUCCUUUGGUGUUUAGCAUUAACUGCAACUUGUGAGCGCAGACGAAUGGGCAGUGGAUGGCCUACGGGUUUGGAGCAAGAACAGCCAUGCCUUUCGCCUCGGUGACUGAUGAGUAGGAGCAGUCGAGCAGAACCAAGGAUUUUGCCAUUGCCACCUUUUGGUUCCCUUCUCUUGUAGUCUUGUCACGUCGCCGUGGACGGCAACUUGGGCAGCACAUCGACGAUCUUAUGAAUUUUGGGUGUUCUUUUAAGUUUGAUUUAUCUGUUUUGAUUUUUUUUUUACUCUUGUCCUAGGAUGUCAUGGACUCAUGGCUAACUUUUUUUAAAAAAAAACAAAAAAAUGUGUUAGGUUACUAAAGAGGAUCUUAGCAUCCAUUGCUGAUAAAGUAGUGAGAAAACAUGUGUUAACAUCCAAAUUUGACAUCUAGACAUGAAAUAAGAAAAUAUGAUCAAAUUUGAAUAAGAUCGGGAUUUCCUACAUAGGGCUAGUAUGAUCGCCGGUGUGUGGCUGAUCGAUCUGAUUGGCGACAAAUGGACGGUCAAACCGUCUAAGUCCGACUUCGAGUCGAAUUUCGUCGGGUCUCAGGCUUCCUUGCUUGGGUUGAGGUUUUUGAGUUUUUAUUGGUAUCUACCUUGAGUAAGACGUGGAGAAGAUUCUGUAGGAGACAAGACCAGUCUCUUUAUAAAGGCUAUGGCCGGUUCAACUGAACACAUAAUCUCUUUUCAAUACAAUUAGCCAAUCACUUUUUUUCUUUCUAGUUUUCAUCCAUCUUUGUCGGUUUGCACUGAAAGCCGUCCAUCCUCGAUGUGGGUGUGCGAAUCUCUUUGUAGGUCUGUCCCAAAAACCUUCCGUUCCACCCACGAGACAAAUGUUUAUCCCUAUUUCAUCUAAGCCAGCUUCAACUAGUCAGUUUUGAAUUACAUAAACCACCUUGGUUUAGAUUUAUCUAGAUCGAGAUGGUUGACGACUUUGUAGCACCGCAAAACAUUAGGUGUUUUCAUCAUGAUUGACGGCGUAACCAAAAAAGUUACCAACAACAUGCACUGAAAGGGAUUCAAACUCAGGCUGGUGCACUGCUCGUCUGCUCCUAACAGCUCCCUGCCAGUCGAGGUAGGCACCAUUCCCAUGGCUAGCUACAGAAAACUACGGUGAAAAAAUAACUCUAGAAAAAUAGUAACACGAUUCCAAGUUCUAUUAUGCGAAAGUUUAUGUCGAUGACAUCAAUCUAUUAUAUUAUCAAAACAAACUUGAAAAAAACCACUGUACUCAUUCCAAAGGCCUAGAAAUUACAAUAUUAAUAGAAGACAGAGAACUUUGUAAACCAGUAGAUCAUGAUGAGUCCAAAUUUUAAUAGCGAGGAUUGAUCGAUAUAGCUGUGCAUAGAACAGAAAAUUGUAUUUGGAGAAACAUAAUUAACAAUUAUAUACAAGAUACAGUUACAUCUGUGGGAUCAGAAGUAAAAUAGUUGUAUACCGAAUUAACAUAAUGACGUGAUAGUACCCCCUUUUUAUUUUUUUUCUAGGCACAGGAGUUUACAGCUGAAAAACUAGAGGGAAAUGUAUUAACAACACCGACAAAUUAAUCUACUUCUUUCCUCCCUGAUAUAUAAAGAGUUUAACGUAUUGUGGCUUCUGGGGACUUCAGCAAAUGAUAAAGCAGGAAUAUAUAUACCAGCCACAUGGCAAUGCCCUGAACUCUUCUGACAAAAAAAAAAGAGGACACAAAUAAUCCCCAAAUCUGCAAAGGAAGAGACAAAUGGAAGGAUACCGAUCUACAUUCAGAUGCAUGCACACGUAUCAAACUGACAUGAGCUACCAAAAAGCUUUGAUUUGCAUGAUCUCUCUCUCUCUCUCUCUCCAGAUAGGCUAACACACCAACCUGGCAGUACUUAAUUAAGCAAAUGAUGCACCAAUCAGUGACCUCCCUAUCACCCUAUGCUAAUUUCUUAUUGAAUACCAUAGAUUUGUCAGUACACAACCACACCAAUCCCUUUCUAACAAACUGCAAAAAAAAAUGAGUUGAUGCCAAAUGGCACCAGCUCUUGAUGAUUCAUACCCAACAAUUCAACAAAAGCAUAUAUCUAUGGGUCUUAAGACCUUUAUCAUAACAGAGAACAUUGUUUGGGAAAUGUGCUGGCCACACUACUAAAUCAACUUGCCUGUAUUGGCAUGCUGACAAAGCGAUAAUGUUGAUUAGUGAGCUAAACACAUAGAUGAUGAAAGGAAACAUCUAGGUAUCAUAGCUUUUGAUUGGGUAUGCACUGAGGUUGAGUACAGUGAGAUGAGUACACAACAGCAUGCCCAACAUGCAAUAAAUAUUCUAUCUGUAUGUAUCUUAAUAACAUGAUUAGUCCAGAACUGGUUUCUUCUUCUGAACUGGUACGAGAACUGGUUUUCUCCUUUUUGAGGACUUAGUCGAACUGGUUUAUGAUUGCACUUCUGAACUAGACAUGUGAAAACCAAGCUAGAAGCACAUGAUCACUUCAGUGAUGCUUAGCAGUUAGCACAGAUCCAGUAUUAAAGUACACAUGCACAAAUUGCGUGAAAUUAGCAAUUAUAUAACAAGAAUACAGUGGGCACAAGGUUGUAAUAGUUGCAGGUAGAGUAAUUUAGAGCAUGCUACAGUACAAGGCAGAGAAUUGGCCAGCAGAAGACUACUGGGAUUGAAAACUGUCCACAUUCAGUUCUAAAAUGAGCUGGUGAUGUUUCGUUUUGUGAGUAAUCCCAAAACAAUCAUCAUUUGAAAUGAGUAUAGCUAUCAACCAAUCACUGUCACAGGAAAAACACUGAAUGUAUAACGCAGAAUGACGAAAGAAUCGCUUACCAAAGAAUAGCAGAUAAUAAAAUAGAAGUUGACAAAUGUUGUUCCACCACUUCAUGUAGGAAAAUAUCCACUGCCUGUCAUUUUAAGUCUGACCAGCUCCCAAAUCCAUAAUUAAUAUAAAUGCCCCUAGAUCAUCAGAACUUCUUUUCAAAAGAGCAAAACUCAGAGGUGAUUUGUCAUCAUACAGAUAUCUCCUUUGGUGAGGGUCUCAGCCCAUGUUCUUAAUUGGUUCCCAAAGCUCCUAAGCUGUGUUCUUCCCCCAUCUUUCCCAACUUACCUUCCUCAUUUUCCACACACACGCUUUUCAAACUACUAAACAAUGUGUGUUUUGUAAAAAAUUUCUAUAUGAAAGUUGUUUUAAAAAAUCAUAUUAACCUAUUUUUUAAAAAAUAAAUAAAUCAAUACUUAAUUAAUCAAGUGCUAAUGAGUCACUCAGUUUCUGUGCGGAAGGAAUAAGUUCCCAACACAAGAAAACGAACACAGCCUAACAUAACAAGUUAUUAUCUAUUAAACACAAGACAAAUGAAUAGAAUAAUAAAACAGUAGAAAACUACGUUUCCAGCACUGCCUCUUUAAAUACUAAAUGCAAAGGUCAUUUCAUUGCUUUUUUCAACAAAUUAAUAUUCUACAAUCCACAGUGCCAAACAAUGCGUCGGUGAAUCAAAUUCAACUUUAUUUCCAUCAGUAUGCCUCUUUGUGUCUCCUUUAGGUUGACACAGGUAUUCUAUCUUAAAUUUGUCAUCAGCCACUAGCACUUGGGUGCCAAAAUAUUGAAGUGCUGGCUCAUGUAGAACCAUCAGGUUUGAUUUUGCACCUAGUGGUUGGUUUCUCAGCAUACAACUUAUACAUAAUGUAAUGCCUCUUUGCCUACAGAAGAUAUGAUAUUUGUCCCAGUUGCAGAGUACAGGAAAAGUGAACACUAACAGUCCAUAAUGUAUAGGGCACUGCAUUGCAGAAGAAAUAAACUACCUACCAAGGGUUAAGAAAACUUAGCCAUCAACAAUCGAAAAAUUGUUUGGGGAGCCAAUGAUACUUUUCCAGAAAAUACAAAAUUCACGGUAAGAUGAGCAGUUUUACACCAGCAUGUAUGUCGUCAGAGGAAUCCACAUAUCAGCUAUAGACAGGAGUACAGGUAAGUAUCACUACAAGAGAAACAGGGAAACUGGAGCACCACCGUUUCAGUGAAUGACAGACGUGCAUUCCCAGAGAUGACAUGUAUAGUACAAUAAUCAAAGAACUAAGUAUGCAUAUGAGAUAUGACUCAGGAUGCUCUCACAGGCUAAACAAAGAAGCUUUCACCUGAAAAGACAUACCUUCCUCUGGAAACCAACUAAUUGGGGCUGAAAUAAGUUGUAGUGCUGCAAAAUCCAGUGUGCAAGAUGUCUCGAUUAAGGACGAUACCUUUUUCAGUCAGCAAUGGUGGAUCACAUGUAAGAUCCCAUAAUAAAUAUGUGGAAGGUGUCAUUACGGUGCUGACAAAGCCAGGAGUUUCUGCUGAUCUUAUGUAUCAUUAAUUAGAUUACAGUUUGAGUAUUCCACAGCCCACAGCAGCGAGAAGCAAUACUGAAAGCUGCUAGUCAUUUAUAGCAUUUGGACGGUCCAGCUCAAGAAAGAACAUAAAGUUGGACUCAAUCAAUGAAUCAUAUCUCAACUGGACUAAGUCUUAAAGCUUCCUAUUAGAUUAUUUAAGUUUGGAAGAUUAUAUCAAUAGAUACGGAAGAUCUAAUCCAGUGUCUAAAUGGACAUUUUACCGCAAAAUUUGCAUAAUGAUUCAACUGACUACUGUUAAAUGUACUCUAACAUUUCAAUUCUACAUAGUAAAUGCUUGGGCUGAUAGAAGGAUUCCUGUAACAAUCAACAAAAUUUCACAGAUAACUUACAUAAGCUUGUGGACCAGGACUACUGAUCUGGCCUGUUCCAAAAGGCUCGUAUUGAUAAAGGACCACCGUGUUUGAUUGAAGCUACUAUAUUCAAGGGCCAAAGGCAAGGCUGCAGUGAUUAUGG
rnacentral:sRNA from 1 species